ACGCUCGACACCUACGGGAGCAGCAGUAGGGAAUCUUCCACAAUGGACGCAAGUCUGAUGGAGCAACGCCGCGUGAGUGAAGAAGGUUUUCGGAUCGUAAAGCUCUGUUGUUGGUGAAGAAGGAUAGAGGUAGUAACUGGCCUUUAUUUGACGGUAAUCAACCAGAAAGUCACGGCUAACUACGUGCCAGCAGCCGCGGUAAUCUGAGCGGGCUGGCAAGGC
rnacentral:rRNA from 1 species